AUCUCCACCUCCAACGGUCUUGUCACUGGGCAUUUGACAAUCGGGCUAGGUAAGAGAAGAAAAUCAUUGUAAGUAAGAUCCAAAUGAGAAUAAAUUACAAAAUGAAGAAGAAGAAGAAGAAGAAAAACCAACCUGAAUGCCAUGUUCAAGGCAAUAGAGCUCCCAACAGGAGUUACCGACUUGGAUUCCGGCCUGACCAAUGUGGAUCGAGAUGCACUCUCUCAUUUCUCUUCUCUGGUUUUAGCUAACCAUGAGAGUUCAACCACCACCACGAUUUGUGGCCUCCAUUCAUGGCCUGCGGUGACCGGAGCACCACCACUGUCGCGCACAUCCGAGAAGGAGAAAAGGAGAAAGACGGACAGGAAAGGGGCUCGAGGGUGGAAUAUCGGGGUUUGGGUUUCGAUUUUUCUGGGUUCAUUUCAAGCUUGCAGGACCGAGAAUGGCCGGCGUCAGAUUUGGGCGGGGCUUAGCUUAGCUUAUAAAUCAUAGAGUAUCUCAUUCCCCAUUUUCACUAUCAUCUCUCUCUCUCUCUCUCUCUCUCUCUCUCUCUCUCUCUCUCUCUCUCUCUCUCUCUCUCUCUCUCUCUCUC